rnacentral:lncRNA from 1 species
GGGACAGGCCGGCGCGGCUGGGAGCGGGUGGGCGGCCGGGAGGCCGGAGCAGCACGGCCGCAGGACCUGGAGCUCCGGCUGCGUCUUCCCGCAGCGCUACCCGCCAUGCGCCUGCCGCGCCGGGCCGCGCUGGGGCUCCUGCCGCUUCUGCUGCUGCUGCCGCCCGCGCCGGAGGCCGCCAAGAAGCCGACGCCCUGCCACCGGUGCCGGGGGCUGGUGGACAAGUUUAACCAGGGGAUGGUGGACACCGCAAAGAAGAACUUUGGCGGCGGGAACACGGCUUGGGAGGAAAAGACGCUGUCCAAGUACGAGUCCAGCGAGAUUCGCCUGCUGGAGAUCCUGGAGGGGCUGUGCGAGAGCAGCGACUUCGAAUGCAAUCAGAUGCUAGAGGCGCAGGAGGAGCACCUGGAGGCCUGGUGGCUGCAGCUGUGAGAAGAGCGAAUAUCCUGACUUAUUCGAGUGGUUUUGUGUGAAGACACUGAAAGUGUGCUGCUCUCCAGGAACCUACGGUCCCGACUGUCUCGCAUGCCAGGGCGGAUCCCAGAGGCCCUGCAGCGGGAAUGGCCACUGCAGCGGAGAUGGGAGCAGACAGGGCGACGGGUCCUGCCGGUGCCACAUGGGGUACCAGGGCCCGCUGUGCACUGACUGCAUGGACGGCUACUUCAGCUCGCUCCGGAACGAGACCCACAGCAUCUGCACAGCCUGUGACGAGUCCUGCAAGACGUGCUCGGGCCUGACCAACAGAGACUGCGGCGAGUGUGAAGUGGGCUGGGUGCUGGACGAGGGCGCCUGUGUGGAUGUGGACGAGUGUGCGGCCGAGCCGCCUCCCUGCAGCGCUGCGCAGUUCUGUAAGAACGCCAACGGCUCCUACACGUGCGAAGAGUGUGACUCCAGCUGUGUGGGCUGCACAGGGGAAGGCCCAGGAAACUGUAAAGAGUGUAUCUCUGGCUACGCGAGGGAGCACGGACAGUGUGCAGAUGUGGACGAGUGCUCACUAGCAGAAAAAACCUGUGUGAGGAAAAACGAAAACUGCUACAAUACUCCAGGGAGCUACGUCUGUGUGUGUCCUGACGGCUUCGAAGAAACGGAAGAUGCCUGUGUGCCGCCGGCAGAGGCUGAAGCCACAGAAGGAGAAAGCCCGACACAGCUGCCCUCCCGCGAAGACCUGUAAUGUGCCGGACUUACCCUUUAAAUUAUUCAGAAGGAUGUCCCGUGGAAAAUGUGGCCCUGAGGAUGCCGUCUCCUGCAGUGGACAGCGGCGGGGAGAGGCUGCCUGCUCUCUAACGGUUGAUUCUCAUUUGUCCCUUAAACAGCUGCAUUUCUUGGUUGUUCUUAAACAGACUUGUAUAUUUUGAUACAGUUCUUUGUAAUAAAAUUGACCAUUG